rnacentral:rRNA from 1 species
UAGGGGAUAUUGCACAAUGGGCGGAAGCCUGAUGCAGCAACGCCGCGUGAGUGAUGAAGGCCCUCGGGUCGUAAAACUCUUUUCAAGAGGAAGAGGAAGGACGGUACUCUUGGAAUAAGCCUCGGCUAACUACGUGCCAGCAGCCGCGGUAACACGUAGGAGGCGAGCGUUAUUCGGAUUUACUGGGCGUAAAGCGCGUGUAGGCGGCUGAUCAAGUUGGGUGUGAAAGCUCCCGGCUUAGCUGGGAGAGGACGUUCAAAACUGAACAGCUUGAGUAUGAGAGAGGAAAAUGGAAUUCCGGGUGUAGUGGUGAAAUGCGUAGAUAUCCGGAGGAACACCAGUGGCGAAGGCGAUUUUCUGGCCCAAGACUGACGCUCAGACGCGAAAGCUAGGGUAGCAAACGG